rnacentral:rRNA from 1 species
CGCGGGAAUUCGAUUUCCGUAGGUGAACCUGCGGAGGGAUCAUUA